rnacentral:rRNA from 1 species
AAUCAACGCUGGCGGCGUGCCUCAGACAUGCAAGUCGAACGAUUAAAGCUCUCUUCGGAGAGUGCAUAGAGUGGCGCACGGGUGAGUAACACGUAAGUAAUCUACCUUCGAGUGGGGGAAUAACGUCCGGAAACGGACGCUAAUACCGCAUAAUGCAGCGGCAUCGUAAGAUGACAGUUGUUAAAGAUUUAUCGCUUGAAGAGGAGCUUGCGGCAGAUUAGCUAGUUGGUAAGGUAAUGGCUUACCAAGGCUACGAUCUGUAACCGGUCUUAGAGGACGGUCGGUCACACUGACACUGAAUAACGGGUCAGACUCCUACGGAGGCAGCAGUCGGGAAUUUUGGGCAAUGGGCGGAAGCCUGACCCAGCAACGCCGCGUGAAGGAUGAAGUAUUUCGGUAUGUAAAACUUCGAAAGAAUAGGAAGAAUAAAUGACGGUACUAUUUAUAAGGUCCGGCUAACUACGUGCCAGCAGCCGCGGUAAU